CUACGGGUGUCUGCAGUGGGGAAUAUUGGACAAUGGGCGAAAGCCUGAUCCAGCCAUGCCGCGUGUGUGAAGAAGGCCUUCGGGUUGUAAAGCACUUUCAGUGGGGAAGAAAGCCUUGGGGCUAAUACCCUCGAGGAAGGACAUCACCCACAGAAGAAGCACCGGCUAACUCCGUGCCAGCAGCCGCGGUAAUACGGAGGGUGCGAGCGUUAAUCGGAAUUACUGGGCGUAAAGCGCGCGUAGGCGGUCUGAUAAGCCGGUUGUGAAAGCCCCGGGCUCAACCUGGGAACGGCAUCCGGAACGGUCAGGCUAGAGUGCAGGAGAGGAAGGUAGAAUUCCCGGUGUAGCGGUGAAAUGCGUAGAGAUCGGGAGGAAUACCAGUGGCGAAGGCGGCCUUCUGGACUGACACUGACGCUGAGGUGCGAAAGCGUGGUAGCAAACAGGAUUAGAUACCCUUGUAGUC
rnacentral:rRNA from 1 species